GCGGAGGAAAAGAAAAUAACAAUGAUUUCCCUAGUAACGGCGAGUGAAGAGGAAAGAGCUCAAAGUUGGAACCUGUUUGGCUUAGCUAAACCGGAUUGUAAACUGUAGAAGUGUUUUCCAGACACGCCUGGUAAAAAAGUCCUUUGGAACAGGGCAUCAUAGAGGGUGAGAAUCCCGUCUUUGGCCAGAGCUGUUGUCUUUUGUGAUACAUUUUCAAAGAGUCAGGUUGUUUGGGAAUGCAGCCUAAAUUGGGUGGUAAAUCUCACCUAAAGCUAAAUAUUUGCGAGAGACCGAUAGCGAACAAGUACCGUGAGGGAAAGAUGAAAAGAACUUUGAAAAGAGAGUUAAACAGUAUGUGAAAUUGUUAAAAGGGAACCGUUUGGAGCCAGACUGGCUUGACUGUAAUCAAUCUAGGCUUCGGCCUGGAUGCACUUGCGGUUUAUGCCUGCCAACGACAAUUUUUUUUGAGGGAAAAAACUAUUUGGAAUGUGGCCCCCCUCGGGGGGUGUUAUAGCCUUUUAGAAAAUACCUUGAAUUGGAUUGAGGAACGCAGUGAAUGCCUUUAGGCAAGAUUGCUGGGCGCUUUCGCUAAUAAAUGCUAGAAUUUCUGCUUCGGGUGGUGCUAGUGUUUAAAGGAGAAACUCGCUUGGUAUAUUUUUUAUUCGCUUAGGUUGUUGGCUUAAUGACUCUAAAUGAC
rnacentral:rRNA from 1 species